CAAGAUAGAGAGACGUAUAAGUUCUUCGCGUUAGCGACACAGCGCUUGGCAUGCAAACUAUGAAGGACCUCUCACCUCUCCGCCGACACCAAGGCGCCGUCCAAAAGUCCGAAACCUCACUCUGUCGAGGCGCCGACCCCACUCCUCCGAGGCUCCUAACUGCAAAGGACCUCACCGCCGAGGCACCGACCAUUAACCACACUCAAUCUCCAUUCUCCAGGUGGGUUGCUCAACUUGCUCUAAAUUUUUAUUAUAUGGUGUGGGUAGAACGAGUUUUUAUGAAAUUUGAUUGUUUGGGUUGAUAAUCGUGUGUGUUUACAGAUGAACUUUAUAUGUAGUUUUGAUAGAUAAAAUUUGAGUUUUCUUGUUUUUUCCGUAUAUAUAAUUGUGUCACUUACUCAGUUUGUAAUUAGAAUUUUUUUUUUAGAUUCCUGUUUAAAUAUUUUAUUUAAUAUAUAUUCAUACAUUGAAAAAUUCACAUUUUAAUUGUUCACUUCAUGCACCAAAAAACUCAAGACCCGUCCUGGAGAUCAUAUUAUACAUUUCUUUAAUAGACUUUUGAAUUCCGCUUCUAUUGAUUUUUUAAUGUAAAAAUAUGAUUUUUUGUUAAAAUGAAUAGUAUCAGAAGUUUUUUUUGUUAAAGUUUAAAUUUUUUUUAAUGCCUUACCAUGUAGACUACAAAGUGGGGUUAAAGUUUGUUUAUUUUACCCAAUAUGCCAUUGACCCGAUAUGCGUGAAAUAUGCUUUCAAGCCCCACAUUCAGCAUAUCUUUGAUACCGCAUGGUUUAAUUAGAAAAAUUCAAUUUAAAUAUUUAAAGGUGCUGCAUAAUAAAAAAUUCAUGGGUAACAACUCAUUUACUUUACCGUUUUGGACCCCCGUACAACUCGAGGGUAUAUGAUAGAUAUUUGAGAAAUAUUAUAUUUUUUUCUUUGAGCACAUUGGUAUUUUUAUAUUAAGGGAAGAGAGAGUUUGGCAAAACCACACAAUAAAAGUCUAAUUUGGUAUCGAAUUCGCCAUCAACGAGAUUCAAACCUAAGACUUUUCAUUUUCAAGUGAAGAAAAAUUCUUCUUACCAUGGUACUAAAUGACAAAUACUAUUAAAACUCAUCUUUAGAAGGAGGACUUAUUGUCACGAAAUAGAAAGUUUGCUCACUUGGAAUAAAAAUUAGAGGACCUAAACUGGUAACCAAAAUGUCUCGGAUUAAACUCAAUAGUUCACUCCGUUUUGGACUUGUACCUGAUUAUCUCUUCUUUAAUAGAUGCGGCUACUUGUAAUUUAAGGGUAAUUGGACUGAAUUUGUUGAACUGUCAACAAAUUAUGGAGGAGUCAUGGUUUAGUCAUGAUUGAACUAAAUACUUAAAUGUCAAAGAUAACUCGUUAUAAUCUAUUUCAUGGGGUAUAUGCAAUCCUUUCUCCAUAUUAGACUACCUCCAAUUGAGAUUUAAAUCCAAAGUAUAAUGUCACGGUUACAAAAUUUGGAUGUAAAAACAAGCUCUAACUAAGAUGUCUAUCCUACGUGGAUUAGUGAAAGGAUUGUUUGCUACGAAUUCUUGUUGAUGAGAAUAUACGAUGUCUUUUUUUUUUUUUUAAAUCUUUGUUGCUUGGGUCUCAGAUUUGCACCAAUCAUAAAUAAUGAUGGUUGGUUUUAACUGAUUUCUAUUUAAAAGUGGUCCGGUAAAUAUUAUUUGAAUAAGAUAGACAUGUACCGGAGCAAGAAAAAAUUUGACAUUGUCACAUGACUAAUUGGAAAACAAUGAGUAGAUUUCAAGUACUUCGUUGAGCAGAUUGAUAAUCGCAAAAUUACAAAUAUCAAUAGAAUUGUUAAAUCUCGUGUUACGUGCAGAUCAUGUAAGAACAAAAAUCUCAAAUCAUAUAGAUAGUUUAGAUCGUUGAAAAGAGUUACUGAAUGUGCACCAUAAGGAGUAUAUGUAAAUGAUUAGGAUUUGAGGACACACGCUUUUAACACUCAUUUUUGUGGCCCCACUCGUAAUGUACUUUCUAUGAUUUAGCUGUCUAUCUUUUAUGUCUUGCCUCAAAUAUUACAUCUGCCAAAAACCACUCAAUUCUGAAACCAUAUAAACUUUGGAUUCAUUUUAGUGUUUCUUUGUAAAAUCGUAUCCAUCUAUUUUAUUCACCACAAAUAGAUGUCUUAAGAGUUUUGAAUUUGUCUAAUUUUUUGCAAGGAUGAUCUAUAAACAAUGUACUAAAAUAUAAACGGUUUAGAUCAUUAAAAUAAAACUAUAUAUUUAUAUCUUUAGGAGGUGAGCUUCACUAGUAAAAAGAUAAAAUUCUAAAUUUACACCUCUCACAUAAAGUAGAACUCAAUAUUUACAUUUCUUAAAUGUGUAAAGUGAAAUAUAAAAUGUAAAUUGUACGUUUUAAAUUUGCCCGUCUUUUUUUUAGUACAAAUGUAUAAAGUGAGAAUGAUAAAAAGGUGAAACAUUCAAAAUACCAAAAUUGUCCUUCAAAAUUACAAUUGAACCAUAAGAAUUUAAAGUAAUUCACCACAUUUUAAUUUUGAAUGAAUUUUAAAUUUCAAACUUUAAUUAAAAAAAAAAACUCCCACAUUAGUAGAUGGUUUCAUGGUUUUGCUUCAUUUUUUUUUGAAUAAUUUUUUAAUAAAAAAAAAUUAAAAGACAUAAUCUAAUAUAAAAAAGGCAAUUGGGUAUGCAUGUGACAAGAUGCUAGUGUUAUACUAAAAGGAGAGAGGAAUUCAGUUAAACCAAAUAAUGAAUAACUUAAUUUGAUAUCGAAUUCGUCAUUUACAAAAUUUAAACCUAUAACCCCUUAUUUACAAGUGAAUAUUUUGGACGGAGAUGUUGGAGAACUUUCAUUGUUGUGUUGCUCAUCAUGAGCUUACGUGUAUUAUGUAUUACCCUAAUUAGUAUUUUAACACACCCUUACAUCAUAUAUGGCCAAUGUGUGCCGUACUUGUGAGACAGUUGGAUGACAUAAACCCUUCAAUAAGUGAAAUUACCCAAGUACCCAUGCCUUAACACUGCAUCACAGCCCAUUAUGUACCGUCAAUAAUUCUCAUAUGAAAUAUUGUAUGCGUCGUGCGGUGCACAAUGCAUGUCUUGGUCUGACUCGAAACAAAACAAGACAAGAAAAACUAGGUCCCACAUAAAUAAGGAUAAACCCUAAAUCUGAACACUACAUAGAAGGCUCAAUAAAUCACCUCCCUCCUCCAUUUAUGGUAAUAUUUAUCUCUUAAUAAAUAUGCUUACAGCGUUGCUAGAGAUAUGGGUGAGUUGGAAAACCCGAAAAUUGAAAAAAAAAAAUAAAAAUACACAAACAAACCAUUCGUAACAAACCAAAACUAGUCAUUUAGUAAUAUGAUCUAGUGAUAUUUUUUUUUAUUUGUUAGUGAGAGGUUUUAGGUUUGAUUCUAACCAAAGACGAAUUUGAACCACAUUAUUGCUAGCACAUUGUGAGGUUAAACCCACCCAUCCCCUUUUGUGUAGAUACUAUUGUUUGUUAAAAGAAGAAACAAAACUGAUAAAAUAAAAAACCUGAAGCUAAAGAAAUUGAACUGAACAAAAAACUAUUGGUUCAAUUUCGGUUUUAGUGGUUUCGAAAACUGAAUUGAACAUAACCGAUAUAACUUAAACCCAAGAGAGAGUCGUUUUACAGUUAGGUUAACCCUAGACUUGGUAAUUUCUGACAAGACCCAUUAAUCCGAUACGACACGAUAUGAAAUUAACAAGUUAUUGGGUCGACACGAUAAUGAAUCGAGUCAUUAUCAGAUAACGCGAUAAGCACAUGGUAAGAUAACGGGUUGGUCUGGGUAUACAUGUGGAUAACCCGAUACACGAUAAGAAAAAUAUUAAUUUAAUAAUUUUUUGCCCCUAAAAAUACAUAAUAAUUAUAUAAUAUAUAUAAUUAUAUAUCUGAUAUUAUAUAUUUAUUAAAUUAAAUUUAGAAAAUUUGGAAAAAAUGAGGUAAUAUAUUUUUAUAUGGUAGAGUACUAUUGUUUUAUUUAUGUUCAUAAUUAUUUUGGUAAACUUCUCAUAAUAAUGUUUGAUUUUUUUAUACUUAAUUUAUGCAGAAGAGAGUUCUGCUGUGGAAAACAUUACUGAAAACAUCAUCAACAUAACUCUUGAAGGCAAUAGAUCAAGCCGAAGUUCCAAUACAAUUUCCUCAUGAUGAUCGAUGAGAAUUGAAGGAUUUUGUAAAAGAAAUAACAUGCAAGCUUUGAGUUUCAUUGACAAGGUUUUAACUUCUGAGAAAGGCUUCACAACUUUGAAAAGAAAAACUCAUUCAUUUUGCAUAUCCUUGCACAUUUGAUAUUUUGUAGUAGAUUAGUAGUGUAUUGGUGCUUUUUUAUUAAGCUCUUAUUUUGGAUUUAGAUGAAGUACUUGAUGACAAAUGUGUUUUUAUAUUUUGAAAUAAUAUUUAUGUGGUAAUGUGGUAUGUGCAAAUUUAAGAAUUUUUUUUUUCUUAAUGGGUCGGGUCAUUUUACAUAUUGGUUAAAGUAACCUGACUUGUUAAGAACUCGUUAAGAUAAUGAGUGUGAUACCACACGACUCAUUAUGAUAACAAGUAUUACACGAACGCAACACAAAACACGACAAACACGAUCCGUUUGUCAGACCUAGUUAACCCUAAGCGUGGUUCUUCCUCUCCUCGUCCACAUCACUUGAGUCCUCACUCGAGUCGUGUUCGUUUGCCUUUGCCGCUCCUCGUCCUCAAACUUCAAUCCCCGUCGUUUUCCUCAUCGCCGCUCCUCCAUAUUUACAUUGAGAUUGCUGUGUUUGGACAACACAAAUGUUCUUAAUGGAAGAAAACAAAACCGUUACAGACACAUUUGUGCAUAUAUCAUAAAUGUUGUUCCACUCCAAUGCUAA
rnacentral:lncRNA from 1 species